rnacentral:rRNA from 1 species
UACGGGGGGGGUAAGCGUUGUUCGGAAUUACUGGGCGUAAAGGGCUCGUAGGCGGCCAACUAAGUCGGACGUGAAAUCCCUCAGCUUAACUGGGGAACUGCGUCCGAUACUGGAUGGCUUGGAUUUGGGAGAGGGAUGCGGAAUUCCAGGUGUAGCGGUGAAAUGCGUAGAUAUCUGGAGGAACACCAGUGGCGAAAGCGCGUGACUGGGCCACAACUGACGCUGAGGAACGAAAGCCAGGGGAGCGAAAGGG